GGUUAAGCGACUAAGCGUACACGGUGGAUGCCCUGGCAGUCAGAGGCGAUGAAGGACGUGCUAAUCUGCGAUAAGCGUCGGUAAGGUGAUAUGAACCGUUAUAACCGGCGAUUUCCGAAUGGGGAAACCCAGUGUGUUUCGACACACUAUCAUUAACUGAAUCCAUAGGUUAAUGAGGCGAACCGGGGGAACUGAAACAUCUAAGUACCCCGAGGAAAAGAAAUCAACCGAGAUUCCCCCAGUAGCGGCGAGCGAACGGGGAGCAGCCCAGAGCCUGAAUCAGUGUGUGUGUUAGUGGAAGCGUCUGGAAAGGCGCGCGAUACAGGGUGACAGCCCCGUACACAAAAAUGCACAUGCUGUGAGCUCGAUGAGUAGGGCGGGACACGUGGUAUCCUGUCUGAAUAUGGGGGGACCAUCCUCCAAGGCUAAAUACUCCUGACUGACCGAUAGUGAACCAGUACCGUGAGGGAAAGGCGAAAAGAACCCCGGCGAGGGGAGUGAAAAAGAACCUGAAACCGUGUACGUACAAGCAGUGGGAGCCUCUUUAUGGGGUGACUGCGUACCUUUUGUAUAAUGGGUCAGCGACUUAUAUUCUGUAGCAAGGUUAACCGAAUAGGGGAGCCGAAGGGAAACCGAGUCUUAACUGGGCGUUAAGUUGCAGGGUAUAGACCCGAAACCCGGUGAUCUAGCCAUGGGCAGGUUGAAGGUUGGGUAACACUAACUGGAGGACCGAACCGACUAAUGUUGAAAAAUUAGCGGAUGACUUGUGGCUGGGGGUGAAAGGCCAAUCAAACCGGGAGAUAGCUGGUUCUCCCCGAAAGCUAUUUAGGUAGCGCCUCGUGAAUUCAUCUCCGGGGGUAGAGCACUGUUUCGGCAAGGGGGUCAUCCCGACUUACCAACCCGAUGCAAACUGCGAAUACCGGAGAAUGUUAUCACGGGAGACACACGGCGGGUGCUAACGUCCGUCGUGAAGAGGGAAACAACCCAGACCGCCAGCUAAGGUCCCAAAGUCAUGGUUAAGUGGGAAACGAUGUGGGAAGGCCCAGACAGCCAGGAUGUUGGCUUAGAAGCAGCCAUCAUUUAAAGAAAGCGUAAUAGCUCACUGGUCGAGUCGGCCUGCGCGGAAGAUGUAACGGGGCUAAACCAUGCACCGAAGCUGCGGCAGCGACGCUUAUGCGUUGUUGGGUAGGGGAGCGUUCUGUAAGCCUGUGAAGGUGUGCUGUGAGGCAUGCUGGAGGUAUCAGAAGUGCGAAUGCUGACAUAAGUAACGAUAAAGCGGGUGAAAAGCCCGCUCGCCGGAAGACCAAGGGUUCCUGUCCAACGUUAAUCGGGGCAGGGUGAGUCGACCCCUAAGGCGAGGCCGAAAGGCGUAGUCGAUGGGAAACAGGUUAAUAUUCCUGUACUUGGUGUUACUGCGAAGGGGGGACGGAGAAGGCUAUGUUGGCCGGGCGACGGUUGUCCCGGUUUAAGCGUGUAGGCUGAUUUUCCAGGCAAAUCCGGAAAAUCAAGGCUGAGGCGUGAUGACGAGGCACUACGGUGCUGAAGCAACAAAUGCCCUGCUUCCAGGAAAAGCCUCUAAGCAUCAGGUAACAUCAAAUCGUACCCCAAACCGACACAGGUGGUCAGGUAGAGAAUACCAAGGCGCUUGAGAGAACUCGGGUGAAGGAACUAGGCAAAAUGGUGCCGUAACUUCGGGAGAAGGCACGCUGAUAUGUAGGUGAAGUCCCUCGCGGAUGGAGCUGAAAUCAGUCGAAGAUACCAGCUGGCUGCAACUGUUUAUUAAAAACACAGCACUGUGCAAACACGAAAGUGGACGUAUACGGUGUGACGCCUGCCCGGUGCCGGAAGGUUAAUUGAUGGGGUCAGCGCAAGCGAAGCUCUUGAUCGAAGCCCCGGUAAACGGCGGCCGUAACUAUAACGGUCCUAAGGUAGCGAAAUUCCUUGUCGGGUAAGUUCCGACCUGCACGAAUGGCGUAAUGAUGGCCAGGCUGUCUCCACCCGAGACUCAGUGAAAUUGAACUCGCUGUGAAGAUGCAGUGUACCCGCGGCAAGACGGAAAGACCCCGUGAACCUUUACUAUAGCUUGACACUGAACAUUGAGCCUUGAUGUGUAGGAUAGGUGGGAGGCUUAGAAGUGUGGACGCCAGUCUGCAUGGAGCCGGCCUUGAAAUACCACCCUUUAAUGUUUGAUGUUCUAACGUGGACCCGUAAUCCGGGUUGCGGACAGUGUCUGGUGGGUAGUUUGACUGGGGCGGUCUCCUCCUAAAGAGUAACGGAGGAGCACGAAGGUUGGCUAAUCCUGGUCGGACAUCAGGAGGUUAGUGCAAUGGCAUAAGCCAGCUUGACUGCGAGCGUGACGGCGCGAGCAGGUGCGAAAGCAGGUCAUAGUGAUCCGGUGGUUCUGAAUGGAAGGGCCAUCGCUCAACGGAUAAAAGGUACUCCGGGGAUAACAGGCUGAUACCGCCCAAGAGUUCAUAUCGACGGCGGUGUUUGGCACCUCGAUGUCGGCUCAUCACAUCCUGGGGCUGAAGUAGGUCCCAAGGGUAUGGCUGUUCGCCAUUUAAAGUGGUACGCGAGCUGGGUUUAGAACGUCGUGAGACAGUUCGGUCCCUAUCUGCCGUGGGCGCUGGAGAACUGAGGGGGGCUGCUCCUAGUACGAGAGGACCGGAGUGGACGCAUCACUGGUGUUCGGGUUGUCAUGCCAAUGGCACUGCCCGGUAGCUAAAUGCGGAAGAGAUAAGUGCUGAAAGCAUCUAAGCACGAAACUUGCCCCGAGAUGAGUUCUCCCUGACUCCUUGAGAGUC
rnacentral:rRNA from 2 species